GACGAACGCUGGCGGCGUGCCUAAUACAUGCAAGUAGAACGCUGAAGAGAGGAGCUUGCUCUUCUUGGAUGAGUUGCGAACGGGUGAGUAACGCGUAGGUAACCUGCCUUGUAGCGGGGGAUAACUAUUGGAAACGAUAGCUAAUACCGCAUAACAAUGGAUGACACAUGUCAUUUAUUUGAAAGGGGCAAUUGCUCCACUACAAGAUGGACCUGCGUUGUAUUAGCUAGUAGGUGAGGUAACGGCUCACCUAGGCGACGAUACAUAGCCGACCUGAGAGGGUGAUCGGCCACACUGGGACUGAGACACGGCCCAGACUCCUACGGGAGGCAGCAGUAGGGAAUCUUCGGCAAUGGGGGCAACCCUGACCGAGCAACGCCGCGUGAGUGAAGAAGGUUUUCGGAUCGUAAAGCUCUGUUGUAAGUCAAGAACGAGUGUGAGAGUGGAAAGUUCACACUGUGACGGUAGCUUACCAGAAAGGGACGGCUAACUACGUGCCAGCAGCCGCGGUAAUACGUAGGUCCCGAGCGUUGUCCGGGAUUUAUUGGGCGUAAAGCGAGCGCAGGCGGUUUGAUAAGUCUGAAGUUAAAGGCUGUGGCUCAACCAUAGUUCGCUUUGGAAACUGUCAAACUUGAGUGCAGAAGGGGAGAGUGGAAUUCCAUGUGUAGCGGUUGAAAUGCGUAGAUAUAUGGGAGGAACACCGGUGGCGAAAGCGGCUCUCUGGUCUGUAACUGACGCUGAGGCUCGAAAGCGUGGGGAGCGAACAGG
rnacentral:rRNA from 1 species